UACGGGGGGGGCAAGCGUUGUUCGGAAUUACUGGGCGUAAAGGGCUCGUAGGUGGCCAACUAAGUCAGACGUGAAAUCCCUCGGCUUAACCGGGGAACUGCGUCUGAUACUGGAUGGCUUGAGUUUGGGAGAGGGACGCGGAAUUCCUGGUGUAGCGGUGAAAUGACGCAGAUAUCAGGAGGAACACCGAUGGCGAAGGCAGGUCUCUGGGCCACUACUGACGCUGAGGUGCGAAAGCGUGGGGAGCAAACAGG
rnacentral:rRNA from 1 species